CGUGCACCAGUGGGGUCCCUUGGCCUGGCCUGCACCCUCUCACAAUCCAGGACCUCUUGGGGGAUGUCGGAGAGCCGGUUUUGGCCCUAUCCCGCAGGCCAGGCCAAGGGACCCCACUGGUGCACG
rnacentral:pre_miRNA from 1 species